GUUCAAUUAAAGUCUUGAGAACUCGUCUAUUCUCAAUUACACCGUCCCAAAAAUUGUCAAGAGAAAUAACCCAUCCAUUGAGACGGGUUUAUUCUCAAUACACCGUCGCAACAGUUAGAAGAGAAAUAACCCAUUCGUUCCAAAGGAGACGUGUCUCGUUUGUGUUUGAAGUUGAUUGCUUUCUGUCUUAGCAAGAAGACAUUCUUGCUGAAAUUGUUGAUAUAGAGAUACCCAUUUGUUUUUCCGAAUUGAAAAUGGGUGCUGUUAAACUGCAACUUCCGUUGCCAAAAAAUGUCGAUGCAGUCACUCUGGAUCCAAAUCCUGAUUGGACCUUUGAUGCUUUGUUUGGUUGAGCUCAAUUCGAUAGAGAAGGAGAAUCUCGACAACUCUCGGCUUCAAAGGAUAAUUCUCGGAGAGCCUUUGUUAUGCAAGUGUCUGAUGAUGAUGUGGAGGAUAUGGACAGAGAUACUAGGAAUGAAGUUGGUGAUCAUUUUCUUAUGGGAGGAAAACAUUUAUGCCUGUGAUGAAAUCUGUCUGAGAAGCACUUGAUGAUCACCUAACUACCAUACAAAGGGAUCACAAACACAGAUCCCAAAUUGAAGAAAGGAGAAUAAGAGAUGAUGCAGCUCGUGAAGAGGCCAAGAGGAAAGAACAAGCUAUUCAAGAAGAAAAAGCCAGGCAAGGAUCAGAGCAGAAGCCAAGCAUACUGCUGUAAGUGCUAAUGUGCAUAUUCCUACUAAUAUCCCUGGCUUUCUUAUGAAUUCCGGCUGCUUAUUUGUCUACCCUCAUGCUGAAAGGAAAAAGUUGAAAAGGAAAAAACUGCUGCACUGGAAGCUGAGAGGAAAGCAGCAAAAGAAGCUACAGCUGCAGCUGCGGCGGAGAAGUCACCUGAGUCAUUGACAACUGUUCCUUCGGAGGCUAGCAAGGUUUCAAGGGAUGUCACUAGUAAGCCUGCGAGAUCCAUAUCUGACUGGCAGAAACAUUCAGCAGGCAUAUCUCUACGUGUAAUCUUAGUAAUGGAGUGGAGAUAGAUUUGACUGUCCUCCUCCUCCUCUUCUUUUUGUUUUUUUUUUUUUAAAUCAUUUCAAGUAAAUAUUAACUUAAACAAAAUGCUGUAUGCAUAAUCUGAGAGGAGAAAUCCUGAUCAGUGCUUUAAGUAUAAGCCAUACAAGGAUAGAUUAGUUUUGAUCCCCUAUAUUUAGAGUUGGACAUAAAUAGGCCUUUUGGCUUCGUAUUAAUGAGAACUUCUGAUCCAGGCUAUUUAGAGUUGGACAUAAA